AACGAACGCUGGCGGCAUGCCUAACACAUGCAAGUCGAACGGGACCGUCGGGUCUUGUGGCGCACGGGUGCGUAACGCGUGGGAACCUGCCCGUAGGUUCGGAAUACCUCACCGAAAGGGGUGCUAAUACCGGUUGAUGUCAUCGGGCCAAGGAUUUAUCGCCUUUGGGUGGGCCCGCGUUGGAUUAGCUAGUUGGGAGGGUACAAGCCUACCAAGGCGACGAUCCAUAGCUGGUGUGAGAGGAUGAUCAGCCACACUGGGACUGGGACACGGCCCAGACUGCUACGGGCGGCAGCAGUGGGGAAUAUAUGACAAUGGGCCAAAGCCUGAUCCAGCAAGGCCGCGUGAGUGAUGAACGCGUUAGGGUUGUAAAGCUCCUUUACCCGGGAUGAUAAUAACGGAACCGGGAGAAUAGGCCCCGCCUAACUCCGU
rnacentral:rRNA from 1 species